rnacentral:tRNA from 1 species
GGGGUUGUGGCUCAGCGGUAGAGUGCUCGCCUAGCAUGUGUGAGGCCCUGGGUUCGAUCCUCAGCACCA